AUUGAACGCUGGCGGAAUGCUUUACACAUGCAAGUCGAACGGCAGCACGGGGGCAACCCUGGUGGCGAGCGGCGGACGGGUGAGUAAUACAUCGGAACGUGCCCAGUCGUGGGGGAUAACGUAGCGAAAGUUACGCUAAUACCGCAUACGAUCUAUGGAUGAAAGCGGGGGACCGUAAGGCCUCGCGCGAUUGGAGCGGCCGAUGUCAGAUUAGGUAGUUGGUGGGGAAAAGGCUCACCAAGCCGACGAUCUGUAGCUGGUCUGAGGGGACGACCAGCCACACUGGGACUGAGACACGGCCCAGACUCCUACGGGAGGCAGCAGUGGGGAAUUUUGGACAAUGGGCGCAAGCCUGAUCCAGCCAUUCCGCGUGCAGGAUGAAGGCCCUCGGGUUGUAAACUGCUUUUGUACGGAACGAAACGGUCUGCUCUAAUACAGCGGGCUAAUGACGGUACCGUAAGAAUAAGCACCGGCUAACUACGUGCCAGCCGCCGCGGUAA
rnacentral:rRNA from 1 species